rnacentral:ncRNA from 1 species
UAAUUAAAACAAAGCAUUGUGAUGGUCCCUACAGAUGCUAACAGAAUGUGAUUUAUGCUCAGUGCUUUGCAUGUCAAAGUGAAGAAAUUCAUCCAAGCGCGGGUAAACGAUGGGAGUAACUAUGAAUCUGUUAAGGUAGCCAUAUGCCUUUGUGUCAUCUAAUUAGUGAUACGCAUGAAUGGAUUAACGAUAUUCCCACUAUCCCAAGUUACUAUCUAGAGAAACCACGGCCAAGGGAACGAUCUUGGUAGAAUUAGAGGGGAAAGAAAAACAUGUUGAGAUUGACUCUAGUCUGACUUUUUGAAAUGACUUGAGAGGUGUAGAAUAAGUGGGAUUUUUUUUCAACGUAAGUGAAAUACCACUACUUUUAAUGUUAUUUUACUUAUUUCAUGGGGUAGAGAUGAGGAGUUUCACAUAUGUUAAAUGAUAAUGCACAUUUCCCAUAUAUUCCUUUUUAUUUCCAAGACAUAACCUUCAUCAUUUACUGGAUUGCAAUUUGGUACAAUUUCCAAAGGAAUUUCCCAUAGUUGGUUGAGAGGAAAAAUUGUGUCCCUGGUUUUUAUUGCCUCUCUCUUUUCAUUAUUAGUUAUUUGGACACUUUUUUGUUGUGAUUUUUCCAUUUCUGCCUUCUAAUCCUCUUGAUGAUGAACAUUUGUCCUUAUUAUUUGUCACCAUACCACUAAAUUAGGGUUAUAGGCUACAAGGGGUAGGAGAGGAUGAGAAACAAAUGGUUAAUGAUGGGGGAGCAAGUUGAGAGAUAGAUUCCUCAAAAACUAAAGGU